UGUAUAUAUAUGGAUAAAUGAUUUUAUUAUUUUUAUAUCAUUUUGAUCCAUGUUCAUUCACUGAUAUCUAUGUGUUAAAAUUGUUAAAUAUGAAACGGUGUCGUCACGCCAUCUAGCCGAGGAUAGGCUAAAGGUGUGUGCGCCAUCUAUUCGAGAAUGACUUUUACUUGAAUUCCGAGUUCCGAGGCACGUUUUUUCCUUAGACUUUAUUCGUCUUAUACGAAGUUACAUAUUUCAUCAAUAACUACUAAUGGCGUUAUUCAUAAACGCGUUACUGGUCAGAAUUAACUAUAAUCGUUUGUCUGUAUCUGUCAUUUUGACUUAUGUAUUUGUAAGAAAGGGAUAAAAUAUAAUUUAACUAAAUCAGGCCCAUAAAGUUUUAUGAAUAAGGGGGUAAGUUGAUACAAAGAACGAUGUUUUUUUAACCCUUUGAACAUGUGCGACGCGUCAUCGUCAUCAUGAAUCUUGUCGUGCACGAAUGUUGAUAUUGGGCUGUUGCCGGUUGACAUCUUUGGUGGUGGUGGAUGGUAACGCCGGGUUUUAACCGGUUAACCCGGGUUAAUGAAUGGUGCAAGUGGCCCUUAGUGACUUUUGGUUGUCAAAAUAUACUGAAAGUAAAAUUUUAAUUAAUUACUUAAUUUCUCUUGCAUUGAUGUUACUUAUUGUGGCGAUACGGUCUAGCGACUAUUAGUGUCGGGCCCCAGUUAAUGAAUGUGUCAGUGUAAUUCUAUUUAUGUACCUACCUACUAAAUGUGUAGUAAAUUAUUAAAGCAUUGUCUAUUUUGGGCCCGAGGCAUGUAAGAAAAUAAAGUUUUCUGACAAA